rnacentral:rRNA from 1 species
CCAUGCAAGUCGAACGAUGAAGCUUCUAGCUUGCUAGAAGUGGAUUAGUGGNGNACGGGUGAGGAAUAUAUAGCUAAUGUGCCCCUUAGAGGGGGAUAACAGUUGGAAACGACUGCUAAUACCCCAUACUCCUUCUUGUUAUAAGACAAGUCGGGAAAGUUUUUUCGCUAAGGGAUCGGGCUAUACGGUAUCAGCUUGUUGGUGAGGUAAUGGCUCACCAAGGCUAUGACGCCUAUCUGGUCUGAGAGGAUGAUCAGACACACUGGAACUGAGACACGGUCCAGACUCCUACGGGAGGCAGCAGUGGGGAAUAUUGCACAAUGGAGGAAACUCUGAUGCAGCAACGCCGCGUGGAGGAUGACACAUUUCGGUGCGUAAACUCCUUUUAUGUGAGAAGAUAAUGACGGUAUCACAUGAAUAAGCACCGGCUAACUCCGUGCCAGCAGCCGCGGUAAUACGGAGGGUGCAAGCGUUACUCGGAAUCACUGGGCGUAAAGCGCGCGCAGGCGGCCUUUCAAGUUGGAUGUGAAAUCCUAUGGCUCAACCAUAGAACUGCAUCCAAAACUGUUAGGCUAGAGUCUGGGAGGGGAAGAUGGAAUUAGUUGCGUAGGGGUAAAAUCCGUAGAGAUAACUAGGAAUACCAAAAGCGAAGGCGAUCUUCUGGAACAGUACUGACGCUGAGGCGCGAAAGCGUGGGGAGCAAACAGGAUUAGAUACCCUGGUAGUCCACGCCCUAAACGAUGAAUGUUAGUCGUCGGGGAGCUAGUCUCUUCGGUGAUGCAGCUAACGCAUUAAACAUUCCGCCUGGGGAGUACGGUCGCAAGAUUAAAACUCAAAGGAAUAGACGGGGACCCGCACAAGUGGUGGAGCAUGUGGUUUAAUUCGAAAGAUACGCGAAGAACCUUACCUAGCCUUGACAUUGAUAGAAUC